ensembl:lncRNA
UGGGUAUUAGGAGUUUGAAUACAUUACCUGCAAACACACAAGGCAUGAGGAGGACCUCAGUAAAUAUCAGCGCCUUUCCGGCUGCCAACGUGCAUUGUAUCUGAACACUACCAGACAGCUACAAUCUUAGCCUGUUUUCUGCAGCUAUGAUGAAUACCGAAGGGAAUGUCAGAAAAUAAAAGAAGCAAUGGUUGCAGAAUGAGCAGACCCAGGGCAUCCAUACCUUGUAUGCAGCCUUCAUUGAUUCAUUAGUCAGGGAACUAGAUGGGUACCAAAGUGUCUUGACCAAUUUAGGCACUCAGUCUACAUUUGGAUUUAUGUAUUCAUGAAUGGAAAAAAAACCCCUGACUCUUUUAAGCCUAGAGCAGAAAAUAUUCCAAUACAGACCUUCUUACGUGGCGUACAAUCAGGAGACUCAAUUUAGUGCAAGUGCAGUGGAACAAUUUCUGAGAAACAUCAGACCUUACCACCCACAAAAUAAUGGAAAAGCUGAAAAUUUGAAUAGGCAAUUGAAAAAGCUGCUUAAUAAAUUAAGAGGUAAUAAAG